UGCGGAAGGGGCAAGCGUUGUUCGGAAUCAUUGGGCGUAAAGGGCGCGUAGGUGGUUCUGUAUGUCUACCGUGAAAGCGUACGGCUCAACUGUAUUUUGUCGGUGGAAACUGCAGGACUUGAGGCUGGGAGGGGCUGGUGGAAUUCCCUGUGUAGCGGUGAAAUGCGUAGAGAUGGGGGAGAACACUCGUGGCGAAGGCGGCCAGCUAGACCAGUUCUGACACUGAGGCGCGACAGCGUGGGGAGCAAACAGG
rnacentral:rRNA from 1 species